UAAUUGCACUGAUUGCCUCUGAUUGUUUUCAACAGUGAGCCUGGGGUUUUUAAAAGCGGAGACCGGGAGUCUUCGAGAGCGAAAAACGCCGGAGAGAAGACGGAACUGCACCGAAUUACCGAAAACGAAAAAGAUCUGUGGCAAAAUGUUUGAUGUUUUGGCUGAAGGCCGGUUACAGUCAUGAGAACAGCAUGGGUACAUACACCUGCUGCACUUCCAGGAGAGGGGACCUGUGCUGUGACGGCAGAUUCCCUGCUUUCGUCGGCACGGUACUGCAAUGCAGAGCACAGAGCCGCAACCGCAGCAGCUAUCCGCCUCCUAUCAAUGAUCGCUGAACAAUGGGCUACUCCUGGGCAAUGAGGCGUAGUAAACCAGCUGUUUGGUUGCCUUAUGGUUUCUAAAUAUGGAGUAGUGUGCCUUUUACACAGGAUAAAGCAAUAAACUAAUGUUAAUGCUCAGCUAAGAGUAA